UAACGGAGGGUGCAAGCGUUAUCCGGAUUUACUGGGUUUAAAGGGUGCGUAGGUGGGUAGGAAAGUCAGUGGUGAAAUCUUCGGGCUUAACCCGGAAACUGCCAUUGAUACUAUUUAUCUUGAAUACUUUGGAGGUAAGCGGAAUAUGUCAUGGUAGCGGUGAAAUGCUUAGAUAUGACAUAGAACACCAAUUGCGAAGGCAGCUUACUACACAGUUAUUGACACUGAGGCACGAAAGCGUGGGGAUCAAACAGG
rnacentral:rRNA from 1 species